GGUUUUCCGACUUUCAGACCUAGAGCUUUGGUAUUAUCCGAUGACUUUGUCUUCGCUCGAUAGACGUUUUGGGUAACUUCCGACGUCUGUGACCUGUUGGUGUUAUCCGAUGAAUUUGUCUUCGCUUGAUAGACGUUUUGGGUAACUUUCCGGCGUCUGUGACCUUAUUCCCGUGAGUUUCAGAAUCUACGGUUUCCGGUGUUGGACUAGGGUUUUCUCUGUUGAUUGAAGGCCGAUCUUCUCCGGUCGCGAAGAAGGAGGGUAACUCUAUCCUUAUUUUGAGUAUUGCAUGCUUUGUAUGUGAACUCUGGUUCCGUAUAUUUUGCUUGCCGAAACUGUUUUCCUUUCAAACUGGUUCAUUAAUCAUUGCUUCUAAUACGAAUGCUAGUACCUCCUCGGUAGACUCUACCAGCCCCCUUUUUGUCUACUCCUUUUGUGUCCCUGGGGUCUCUCUUGUGCCCACUCCCUUCUCAGGCAGUGGUUAUGGGGGUUGGAGGAGGAAAAUGAUUGUCGCGUUAUCGGCUAAAAACAAAAUUGGUUUUGUUGAUGGCACAUGUUCCCGUCCAGUCACUAAUGUGACUCAGCAAAGGUUAUGGGACAGAUGCAAUAAUAUGGUGAUUUCCUGGUUAACUGCCUCCCUUUCCCCUCAAAUUGCUGAAAGUGUGCAGUAUUCUGAUACUGCACAGAGUAUAUGGUCCCAACUUCAGGACAGAUAUGGCACUGCAAACAGGACCAGAAUUUUUGAAUUGAAAAGAGAGCUUUCUCACACCUCUCAAGGGUCCCAAGAUGUAGCUUCAUAUUUUAAUAAACUCAAAGGUCUGUGGGACGAAUUAGAAUUAAUGUGUGCCAAUCAUGGGCAAAGAUGUGUUUGUGCUGCCAAAGAUGGUAUAAUACAGGAAAAUGAUGAAAAUAAGGUAUUUCAGUUUUUAAUGGGCCUUAAUGAAGCAUACAUGGGGGUAAGGAGUAAUCUAUUGAUGAUGCAGCCACCUCCAACCCUUUACAGUGUCUAUAAUAUGGUCCUCAAGCAGAGACAAGUCCAGUCCCCUUCUCAGUUUAAUCCAGACUCCAUGUCUUUCAAUGUCCAUACUAAUAGACAUUCAGUUGGAUUCAACAAGGCCACAAUGCCUAAUCCUUCUCCUCCUUUCAGACAAAGAGUCAAUUUUGACCAAGCUAGANNNN
rnacentral:lncRNA from 1 species